CUGAGACAUCUGAGCGCCCCAAGUUCUGACCAUCUUAAUAAACAAAAUAAUUUCACCAACAGAGAAACAGUGAGAUGGAUUAUAAAGUGAUUUAAUAUAUACAAAAUUUAUAUGCACUUAAUACAUCCAUAAAUUAUAUUUAACAUAAAACAUCAUUUUAUUCUGUUGUUAAAAUUAAAGCUGGAGUUUUAAGUAACAUGUGCUACUUUUACAGAAGAAAACGCCAGAUUACUAAACAAAAGCUAAAGACAUUGAUUUAAGAGCCCUGAGUGUUUACCAGUUUACAUUAAUGCUCAAUUUCUUUUCCUUCAGUGGAAGUCCAGCAUUAAUGUAAUUGUCUAACUCUUGAUUGUUUGGUUUGUAGAUGUAAUACAAGUAGCUUUCACAUUUGCCAGGACCCUCUCUCUGUCCUGUCUUCCCUCCCACCUGCCACCAUCUGAUCCUGCUCCCUUUCAGGCCUGGCUUAUCCCCCAGAGGGUCUGGAGGGUCUGGAUUCUCCUCCCAGAGGGUCUCUAGGGUCUGAACUCACUGCUUACCUCACCCUACCUCCCAUCAUCUCUGUGCUUGGCAAUCUGACCUCCACAGCCAUCAGUGCAGGAAAUGUUCCCCAAGGUCACAGCGGCCUCAGGUGCUUCCAAAACUAUCUUAUUUGAUUUUACUGUCCUGUCCCAUGCUGGGCAGCUCCCUGCUUCCCCAAGGUGCUUCCUCUGGAGUAUCUUUUUAGCCCUCUAUUAUCUCUCAUCCUAGACUGUCCUUAGAUGUUGGCAUUCCCCAACUUUCUCUCCUGAGUGCCCUUUCUUUUUCCUUUCUGGGCAGACCCUUCCACUGAUUCAAUGCCAUUAAUUAGAUGACGACCCUCUCGAGGUCCAGAUUGAAACCCCAUCUAUUGUCUCCUGCCCACGCCACCACCCCAGUCCUUUCCUCUGAGGUUCAUCUCUUUGGGUCAUUCUACCACCCAAUCAGUAGUCUGGGUUAGAAAUGUGGGAAUAUUUCCACUCCGUUCUUUCCCUUACCUUCCUCAUUCAACCCACCUCCAAAUUUUCUCACCACCUCCCCCUUAGGAGCUCUCAAACCCAUGUCCUUCUCUCCAGCCCCUUUUUAGUUCCAGGGAUCAUCUGGUCUCACCUAUGCCCCAGUUGUAGUCUCCUAACUGGUCUUUCUACUGGUUGUCCCACCCCUGCCACCCCAUAUCCCCCAUCUCCACCCUUAUUCCAACCCACCAUCCACAUAGGAGUGAUUUUUAUAAAAUGCAAAUCUGAUGAUAGCAGUCCCCUUUUGGAUCAAAGGAUCCUCAUCAGCUUUGGGAGAAGAUGGCCAUCCACAGCCCAGCCUGUAGCCCUCGUGUCUAUGAAGCUAACUGCUCACCUCUCCAGAUGGACCUGCCUAGUCCAUCCUCCCCAACUCAGGCAGUUGCUGGUUUGGAUAUCUGACAUCAAUUGGUGCAAUGAGAAUGAAGUUCAAGAACUGUGUUCAGUGUUCAGUGCUUCGGUUUUCGCAUCUGACUGAUGUAGCCUAGGAUUGGAGGUGGCCAUCUUGCAAACACAAGGGGAACCAGCUGUAGGAUGAAGCCAAUCUCAUGGUAAUAAAAC
ensembl:lncRNA